CAGUCGCCGCGGUAACACGUAGGGUGCAAGCGUUAAUCGGAAUUACUGGGCGUAAAGCGUGCGCAGGCGGUUUUGUAAGUCUGUCGUGAAAUCCCCGGGCUCAACCUGGGAAUGGCGAUGGAGACUGCAAGGCUAGAAUCUGGCAGAGGGGGGUAGAAUUCCACGUGUAGCAGUGAAAUGCGUAGAUAUGUGGAGGAACACCGAUGGCGAAGGCAGCCCCCUGGGCUAAGAUUGACGCUCAUGCACGAAAGCGUGGGGAGCAAACAGGAUUAGAUACCCCCGUAGUCCCUGUCUAUUAUAC
rnacentral:rRNA from 1 species